AUUGAACGCUGGCGGCAGGCUUAACGCAUGCAAGUCGAGCGGAGAUGAGGUGCUUGCACCUUAUCUUAGCGGCGGACGGGUGAGUAAUGCUUAGGAAUCUGCCUAUUAGUGGGGGACAACAUUUCGAAAGGAAUGCUAAUACCGCAUACGUCCUACGGGAGAAAGCAGGGGAUCUUCGGACCUUGCGCUAAUAGAUGAGCCUAAGUCGGAUUAGCUAGUUGGUGGGGUAAAGGCCUACCAAGGCGACGAUCUGUAGCGGGUCUGAGAGGAUGAUCCGCCACACUGGGACUGAGACACGGCCCAGACUCCUACGGGAGGCAGCAGUGGGGAAUAUUGGGCAAUGGGGGGAACCCUGAUCCAGCCAUGCCGCGUGUGUGAAGAAGGCCUUAUGGUUGUAAAGCACUU
rnacentral:rRNA from 1 species